rnacentral:rRNA from 1 species
AGAUUGAACGCUGGCGGCAGGCCUAACACAUGCAAGUCGAGCGGUAGAGAGGUGCUUGCAUCUCUUGAGAGCGGCGGACGGGUGAGUAAUGCCUAGGAAUCUGCCUAGUGGUGGGGGAUAACGUUCGGAAACGGACGCUAAUACCGCAUACGUCCUACGGGAGAAAGCGGGGGACCUUCGGGCCUCGCGCAUUAGAUGAGCCUAGGUCGGAUUAGCUA